AGUGGAUGUCAGCUGGCUCUCAUAAGUUUUGCAUCUGUAGAUGUAAUGCUCAAUUGUUUCCUCUUCUUCUUUGCAGUUACACAUCGGGGACGGGAUUUUCUUAAUCCUGUGAAGGUGGUGAUUCAAUUUAUUGUGGCCUGUGACCACACAGUAAAAAAUUGAAUACCCCACUGUACUACACUUCUUUAAGUGUAGCGGUGAAAGUGUAGUUUCGUGGGGUAUCGGGCAUAUAUUUCUUUUAGUGGGCUUACCCACAUAUUAGUGUAGUGCUUGAUAAGUGUGCGGUACACUUACUAAGUUCUUUGUAGGAAUUUGCGCGGUAAUCUUCAGCCACCAUGUUGUCCCCGCGUUGUGUGUUUCAGUGUGCAACCCUCCCCUCCCCAAUAUUCCCCAUUGGGCAAUCAUGGGGAGGGUUCCCUACCCUCGUUUUUCGUACUUCACCCCUUCAAGUCCUGAGGCUGGUGUUUGCGUACACACCACCACAGGCACCAUUCCCAUACUGCCCCGUUUUCAAGUUAGUUGUUUUUGAAAACUUGGAGAGAAAUGGCUGUGUUAUAUGUAGCUGUGAUGUACAGUAGUGGAUUUAUCCCAUGUGUACCGGGGAAGCUUUUUCGUUUUUAUUGUGUUGGAACGAGAUUAAGGAGAGUGGCUGACGUCAACAUUGGCCAUAAAAUAGACUAUUUGUUAGGUACAAAUAUUCAGCCAUCGGUAUUUUUUUUUAUUGUUUCUAUUUCGCCAGAUGUAUUUUUGUUUUCGUCUUUCCUUUCGAAAUACAUUUCUGUAUUACAUUGAA